AAUUUUAUUUAGGUAUAGAUUAAAAAAAGAGGGAAAAAAAAGGAAAACGUGAAUACAAUCGUUUCCACAUUCCACAUUCCGUUUCUAACCUAAUUUCCUCCCCUGCUCCUCAAUCGCCGCAGAAGAAGAACAACACCAACAAUCGGAGGCACCACCCUAGAAAUUCUCCACAACAACAAAUCUUCCUUCGAACCCAUCGUCUCCGAUAUCCUCUCCAUCAAAACAGAUGCUAAACCAAAACAACUCCUUCACGAUCUCGUCACUCAAAUGUUCCUUCACUUCAUCACUCUCCGCCAGAUUUGAUUCCUUUGUUGAGGUACCAACAAAAGCUUCCCGUUGUCGAUUAUUUGUGCUAACAGGGAUUGGAAAAUAGGUCAAGCUUUUGGAUGUUGAUAUCAGAGUUAUUAAUCCCGGCCGCUCCGGCCGCUAUCCCGGCGCUCCGUAGCGGAGCAGCACCCUGCCGCGCGAUAUGAAGGGUGCGGAGCAGGAGAUGAGAAAGCGGCCGCUUCAGCCGCUAUACCGGGUCCCGAGUCGUGGAAAAUUCCCGGGCGGAGCGGCUCCGGUUCUUUUUUACCUUUUUUUUACAAUUUUCUGGGCAAAAUUAACAAAACACCCCUGUGCAAGAGAGAGGUUGAAGAAGAAGUGAAAUCUGAUUCGUAGAGAGAGUGAGAGUGAGUGAGAGAGGUUGAAGAAGAGUGAAUUAGGGUUUCCCAAGAUAUGAUUCAUAGACUGAGAAUGAGAGAGAGACGCAAAGCGAGAGAGAGGUUGAAGAAGUGAAUUAGGGUUGAUUGGUUGAAGAAGUGAGAUCUGUGCCGCCGUGGAGUUAGAGAUAAUUAGGUUAACAUACUGUAUAUGUUUUUGACGGGUAGUGGUAGUGUACUAACUAAGUAUCAAUCUUAUUAUAUAUUUAUUCAAAAAAAUCAUAUCUUAUAUUAUUUCCUAUUUUUUAUAACUAAUUUUGUAUCUAUCUAUUAUCUUAAGAAAAUAUAUAAACAAAUUAUAUAUUUUUUGAGUCUAUUUAUUAAAAUUAAAUUUAAUUUGAAUCUUAUGUUUUGAAUCUUAAUUAAGCAUUAUUCUUUGUUUCACAUUAUAUUUUAUGAGUGGUUUAUAGAUUAUUAUAUAAUUAUUAGUAUACAAAAAUUUAUCCCGCUAUCCGGGAUGCCGCUAUUCCCACUAUUCCCAUUCCCGGAGGUUGGCCGCUCCGCUCCGCUAUCCGGGAUUAACAACUCUGGUUGAUAUUAAUUAUUAAAAGAUAUUUCUUCUUUUUUAUGUAUAUUUGUGAGUAUGUUGGGUUUGGUUCUUCAAUAGUAUGAUUCUAUUUGCAACUCGGCUAAAUCAAAAUAUUAGACCUAUUUGAUUGAAGAACCAGAUUUAUUACUAAACAUGCUAGGAAAACUAAUAUUUUAUUUACUUUUUUAGGAUGAUACAAUUACAAAGAAGAAUGACAAAGAACCGGAGCUGCAUAAAGAGAGAUUCAAAAAUAAGAAACAUGAAAAACAAGUUUAUGUUUCAUUGCCGCCUCCUCCACCACCGAUAAUCGUGGUCAUAUUGAUCAUUCUGCUAGAGUCAUGAAAGUGAUAACAUGGAAUAGGUCCUUCAAGGGUGUGUCAAACGGAGAGGGUGCUAAAGAUGAUUUUGAUUCGGAAGAGUAUGAGAUACAUGCCACUGUUUUGGACAAGUUGUUAGCUUGGGAAAAGAAACUCUAUGAAAAGGUCAAGGUAGUUGUCAUCUUCCAAUUUUGUCAUUCAAAGUAGUUCCAGUUCUGAACAAGCAGAAGAAGCAUGGUGCUAGUGUUGAUUCUUUAGGAAAAACUAAAGUGGAUGUAAGUCAUUUACACACGAGAUAUAUUGUUGUAAUUUGUAAGUUGAGUUUAUUUUAAGUUGUAUUAUUUUUUUCACAUGUGAGCUAUUCACUUGUAAUUGUAUUUUAUGAAUGCAUGUGCUUUUGAUUUUGGUUGGCUUUAUGUGAUUGGUACAAUUAGUUUAAUGCUUAGAUAGAGUUAAUAAAAUUGAGUUCAUUAUAAGCAAUGGAGCUUAAGGGAGGUCAUAUGAUGAGUGGUUCCCUGUAGUAGGAGUAUAUGCCCUGUUUUUUGUCUCACAUUGAUAUGCCCUGUUGAUCCGAUGGAUUCGUUCAUCGAUGUUCAUGAGUUCACUAUAUGGAAUCUUCAACAGGCUCAUAGAGAGUUGACUAUGUUUGGACUUUCUUAUUUAGUUCAUGAUGCUUUUUAAUUGAGCUAAUGAUUUUGUAUAUUGUUAAAUUUUUUUUGUUUACUAUUGUUUUCCAACUUUCUGCACCCAGCUGAUAGUAAUAAUACAAAGCUUCAACAAUGGUUGUGCAAGGAGAAAGUCAGGUAUACUUCUCCUUUUUACAUGUUAUACUUUUUUAUGGAGCAGCAAAAAGUUUAUAAAACUCAAUCUGGACUGUUGCAGACCAAGUGUUCGAGAGCAGGGGCGGCCAUUGAAUAUGUUGUGUUACAUUUAAAGAAUGAGCUAGCAUUGGAUGAGAAAAGCUGUAAGGAAACAAUGGAUCCGUUUGGAGAAACCAAACAUCUUCUUGUGGCUAAUGUUUCGUCAAUGGGAAAUGAGACUGUACACAUUGAAGAAACGGAACGGUACUGGUUUGCUUUUAUCCUAUACUCUAUCAAGAAACUUACUCAGAAAAACGAGGAGAGUGGGAAGGAAGAGAUUGAGAAUACCGGUCUUACCUUGUGCCGAAUAUUGCUUUUCUGACCUUUAUCUAAAAUUACUACAUCCAUGUCCUGUGAAUUGUACUGAUAUCUCAUGCAUUUUUCCCAAUUAAUUGGUACUGAAAUAAGUUUUAGUGAUUGGAAUUUGAAAAUAAAAAUUGGGCAAGAACUUAAAUUAUUUUAGUGAUGGUUAUUUUA